GUCCCAUGCCUGACUAGGCAAAGGCAACAAAAGAAAAAAUAAACAAGAGGGACUACUCCAAACUAAAAAGUUUCCGUACAGCAAAAAACAAUCAACCAAAGGAACAAGUAACCUAAGGAAUGGGAGAAAAUAUUUGC